rnacentral:lncRNA from 1 species
UUAUCCAGAGUAUCGUAUUUAUUUUUUUACCACUAGGAGAAAUAGUGCAUCUGACUAACUGGUCUAUUACUACUAACCUUUAGGCACAAAGAAUGUCUUUCGAUGUGAGUGAUAAAUAGAGAAGACUGCAACCGUAGUCUCCUUCUAACCUCGGUAAGGAUGAUCUACUGUUCUAAUGGGGAGGCUAAUGGAAUCUAGACACCACAAAGGAUGUUCAACCCGCACCUAUAAACCCUAUCCUUCCUGCUAACGAGAUGUGAUCUGCAAAGGUAACGCGGAAUUGUCACGUUCCUCACUACUACCACGGUCCAGCUAGUCAGGGAAUAUCUAUGAGUACCCCAGACUAAACACCACAUUUAUGCCAGCAAUGGUUACUCUAAACUCUACGCGAAGAGAUUAAAGUAAACUCAUAAAUCAUAAGAACAAUAAAACAAGAACUUACUAGAAUUUAGAAGUCGAAAUACUGAAGAAUCCUAGGAGCAAGCUUCGGGUUAGGAGAACUUGAUCCCACAGGUACAAGCUUGGAGUAGACACCGACAAGCCGGGCUUCCUCCAAUCUACACCUCCACUCUAUCUCUCUCAAUCUAGUAGAAACUAGAAGAUCUAUUUCUACUUUACAUUGGUUGCUAAGCCUAAAAAGAAAUAUUAUUUAGAGAAGAGGUUUUCCUUCGAGGGCACCCCUCAGUCUCUAUGAUAAUUUCUUCAUGUCUUCUCCAAGGGCCUGGGGGGUCUCCUUAUAUAGUCCUCCCCUUCUAUGUGUUUUGGGGUCGGUAGGCGAGGUGGUACUUAUGUUUUUCUUGAUCCAAUAGGUCGGUGGAAUAUCCCGUGCGAAGAGAGUCCUGAUUGACAUCCAGCAGGGGGCGGGCGCCCAGGUCACUAGGGUGGGCGCCCUGGGCCUGGCCUCUUUCGGCCUCCGUCUUCUUCCCGUGGCUUCUGGAGUCUUCUAGAUGGUAGAAAAUUGCGCGGUGCGUUGAUAUCUCUAUGUAAUCCCGACAUGUGGGCCUUUCUUCCUUAUUUCCUGAUAACCCCCUGCAGAAAUACAUAAACAACAAAACUCGUGAAAUUCUAUCAGAUCAAACCCUAAUUCUAUGUGUUGGUUGUAUAUUGGUCCUUUCCCUUGUUUAUUUGAUAAUUAAAAUUGAUACUUAAGAACCGUCAACAAAUACCCCCAUACUUAGGCUUUUACUCGUCCUCGAGAAAAGGAUGGUUAAGAACAAUAUCUGGGGUUAAACAUUUUAAAACAUUCUUUAUAUUUGCAGGGUGUUAAAAAUCCACUGUGUACCAUAGUCAGGAAGUAUAUGGUUAAGAGUAAAGAUCCUUUCUUCUCAAUCCUGCCACUUGGAGUUUUUGUAUAUUUUCGAAAGAAAGUUAGCAUACCUUUUUAUCCUCAUAGGUUCUCUCAGAUCACUCAUUAUCUUUUAUAUAUAUCUCACUGAGGUUGUUUUAAUUUGCAAAAAUUCUCAAGAAUACUUACUUUGCAUUUAUUGCCUGAUCAAAACGGGAUCCGAGGAGGGGAAUGUCAUACUCUUGCUGGCAUAUUGCUUAUUAGAGGGACCAUGGGCUAUCAUUUUCAUUUUUUUUUCUUUUUUUUAAGUGGAUACCGAAAUACCCCUAAUUCUACUGCCGGACACUUGUCCAUUUUUUCUGCGAGGUUGUCGAGCACAUGCUCCUUUUUAUUUCCUCGAAAUAUCUCUAUUUUUGCAUAGCCCAUGCCUCUAAUGCAAUAAUACUUCGGAAGAGUGAAUCUUUCUGAAAUAAUGUCUUGAUCUUAGGAGCAUGAUAAAUCUCUCAACAAGGGUCUAACUCAUUUUGAACAAACUCAAUACUGAGUAGAUAACUUUUAUAAUCAUAAUUAAUAUUUUCAGUUUUAUCAGGCAUAUAAAACACUGAGGAUGGUAGCUAAAAUUUUGAAUAUUUUGAAAUAAAUUCUCCAAGCAACAAUGAUAUCAAGAAUAAGAAACUCAUACUCUACCAUCACAUAUUCCACAAUGACUUAAGUAACAUAGGGUUUUAAAAUGAUUUUGUAAUAAUUGCAAGUUUUCAGGAAAUAUCACAGAUUGAGAUUAAUCAUGAUUAGAAAUAUUUUAAUAUUUUUAUUUUAUCAUGUCGGAAACAAUAAUCUGCAUAAUCCAAAAUAUAUAUAUGUAUAAAGUAAAGUAUGCAGAGUGUGUACCUGAAUCGUGGAGUGGUGUGGUUGGAGUGUGUUUGGCAUGUUGAGGGAUCUCCCCCAUACUUGUUUUAUGCUUUCUUGCACAAAAAUAAAGUGGAGACACACAAGACAUAAUAAUAUUAAUAAUACUCUUUAUUAAUCUUGAGGCAUUUAUUACAAAAGACUAGUAGCAAACUGAUAGCAAACUGAUGACAAUAGUAAACUGAUGAUAAUAGCAAACCUAAACCGAAUUUAAAGAUAAAUGACUAAGAUGUAUUGCCUCAAGGUCUAAUCUAGAUAACUUAGCGGCGCUCUAAUUCCUUGAUCUUCUUGUUGGCACUGGCAACAUCCUGCCUAUGGCCUAGUAUAAUGGUGUUGUGGUUAGAGAGCAGCCUAGUGAGGGAAUUAAUCAAGGACUGGAGGUCUAUAAUAACUCUAUCUAGCCUGCGAACUUCCUCAUCAAUAUCCAUUAUAGUCUUGCGACGCUUGGGAGGUGUCUCAAAAGCAUUGAGAGAGUGCUGUGGGGAAGCCUUUGGAGGGAUGAAACGGACUUUGGCAGCUCUAAUCCAUUCAAAGUAAGGCCUUUCCUCCGCCGUAGUGUAGCGAACGCUGCUGAUCUCGCCGCUCCGGUUGGUCUUGACUCCGACGACCCUCUCAUUGGGUCU